AUUGAACGCUGGCGGCAGGCUUAACACAUGCAAGUCGAGCGAGCGGCGGACGGGUGAGUAAUGUCUGGGAAACUGCCUGAUGGAGGGGGAUAACUACUGGAAACGGUAGCUAUUACCGCAUACCAUCAGAUGUGCCCAGAUGGGAUUAGCUAGUAGGUGGGGUAAGGGCUCACCUGGGCGACGCUCCCUAGCUGGUCUGAGAGGAUGACCAGCCACACUGGAACGGAGACACGGUCCAGACACCUACGGGAGGGGGCGGUGGGGAAUAUUGCACAAUGGGCGCAGGCCUGAUGCAGCCAUGCGGCGUGGGUGAAGAGGGCCUUCGGGUUGUAAAGCCCGUUCAGCGAGGAGGCGUUACUCACAGAAGAAGCACCGGCUAACUCCGUGCCAGCAGCCGCGGUAAUUC
rnacentral:rRNA from 1 species